GGGCUGGUAGCUCAGCUGGUCAGAGCACUUGCUUGACAUGCAAGAGGUCAGAGGUUCGAGCCCUCUUCAGCCCA
rnacentral:tRNA from 1 species